GAUGAACGCUGGCGGCGUGCCUAAUACAUGCAAGUCGAGCGAACAGACGAGGAGCUUGCUCCUCUGACGUUAGCGGCGGACGGGUGAGUAACACGUGGAUAACCUACCUAUAAGACUGGGAUAACUUCGGGAAACCGGAGCUAAUACCGGAUAAUAUAUUGAACCGCAUGGUUCAAUAGUGAAAGACGGUUUUGCUGUCACUUAUAGAUGGAUCCGCGCCGCAUUAGCUAGUUGGUAAGGUAACGGCUUACCAAGGCAACGAUGCGUAGCCGACCUGAGAGGGUGAUCGGCCACACUGGAACUGAGACACGGUCCAGACUCCUACGGGAGGCAGCAGUAGGGAAUCUUCCGCAAUGGGCGAAAGCCUGACGGAGCAACGCCGCGUGAGUGAUGAAGGUCUUCGGAUCGUAAAACUCUGUUAUAAGGGAAGAACAAAUGUGUAAGUAACUAUGCACGUCUUGACGGUACCUAAUCAGAAAGCCACGGCUAACUACGUG
rnacentral:rRNA from 1 species